rnacentral:rRNA from 1 species
ACGGCCUAAAGCGUGAUUAAAUUAUAUUUAGAUAAAUAGAAAUAAAAAUUAACUUAACUGUCGUACGUAUUUGUUAAAUGGCAAACCAUAAACGAAAGAUAUUCUAAUAAACAAACUACUUGAAUCCACGAAAGCUAAGAAACAAACUAGGAUUAGAUACCCUACUAUGCUUAGCCUUAAACUUUGGUAUUACCCGCCCGAGUACUACGAGCCACAGCUUAAAACUCAAAGGACUUGGCGGUGCUCUACACCCCCCUAGAGGAGCCUGUUCUAUAAUUGAUAAUCCCCGCUAAACCUCGCCACUUAUUGCCAAUACCGCUUAUAUACCGCCGUCGUCAGCUCACCAUUUAAAUGAAAGAUAGUAGGCAUAAUGAUAAACAUAAAAACGUCAGGUCAAGGUGUAGCGAAUUAAGUGGAAAGAAAUGGGCUACAUUUUCUAAAUUAGAAAAUACGAAAAAUCUUAUGAAAAACUAUUUAAAGGUGGAUUUAGCAGUAAAAAGAAAACAGAGUGUUCUUUUUAAAUAGGCCCUAGAGCGCGCACACACCGCCCGUCACCCUCCUCAAAAACCAAUUAAUUAUAUAAUAAAAAGAAAAUAAAAGAAGAGGUAAGUCGUAACAUGGUAAGUUUACCGGAAGGUGUACUUGGAAUAU